rnacentral:rRNA from 1 species
GACGAACGCUGGCGGCGUGCUUAACACAUGCAAGUCGAACGCUGAAGCUUGGUGCUUGCACUGGGUGGAUGAGUGGCGAACGGGUGAGUAAUACGUGAGUAACCUGCCCUUGACUCUGGGAUAAGCCUGGGAAACUGGGUCUAAUACUGGAUACGACAUGUCACCGUAGGGUGGUGUGUGGAAAGGGUUUUACUGGUUUUGGAUGGGCUCACGGCCUAUCAGCUUGUUGGUGGGGUAAUGGCUCACCAAGGCGACGACGGGUAGCCGGCCUGAGAGGGUGACCGGCCACACUGGGACUGAGACACGGCCCAGACUCCUACGGGAGGCAGCAGUGGGGAAUAUUGCACAAUGGGCGGAAGCCUGAUGCAGCGACGCCGCGUGAGGGAUGACGGCCUUCGGGUUGUAAACCUCUUUCAGCACGGAAGAAGCGAAAGUGACGGUACGUGCAGAAGAAGCGCCGGCUAACUACGUG